UGGCGCUGCAUUCGUCGUUUUCCGUGUUCGUGCGAGUAUGCGAGAAAUUCUGCCAUUUCUUUUCCAGUUGUGACGACGUAUGGUCGGUGUACUUAGGAGACUGAGUAACGACUAUACAAAAUGGUAAACGGACGAAUUCCGUCAGUCUUCUCAAAGACUUAUGUCACACCCAGGAGACCUUAUGAAAAGGCUCGUUUAGAUCAGGAGUUACGUAUUAUUGGUGAAUACGGUCUCCGUAACAAACGUGAAGUAUGGAGAGUCAAGUAUACGCUUGCAAAUAUCAGAAAAGCUGCUCGUGAGCUGCUUACGCUUGAAGAGAAAGAUCCCAAACGUCUGUUUGAAGGAAACGCUCUGUUGCGUCGCCUAGUAAGAAUCGGCGUAUUGGAUGAGAGCCGCAUGAAACUCGAUUACGUUCUUGGUUUGAAGAUUGAAGAUUUCUUGGAGAGACGCCUUCAAACUCAAGUAUUCAAAUUGGGACUUGCCAAAUCUAUUCACCAUGCUCGUGUGCUUAUUCGCCAACGUCACAUUCGGUAUCCAAACAAUUUACGCGGUUGAUAGCCGAAAAUGUUUUAAAAAAGCAUGACAUUAAGUAUGGACGAGCAAUUACGAUGUUAAUCUCGAGAGCUGUUUUUGUUUCAGACAGGCCACUUGAGUGUCAGGAAACUGGCACUCAACGUCUGUCGUACUAGCGGGGAUCUAUGCACAUUGAUAAUGAUUGAGUACGCAAACAGGUGGUGAACAUUCCAUCCUUCAUCGUGCGUUUAGAUUCGCAGAAGCACAUUGACUUCUCACUGAAAUCGCCAUUCGGUGGUGGCAGACCUGGCCGUGUAAAGAGGAAGAACCUGCGAAAGGGAAGUGGUGGAGCUGCUCCGGAGGAAGAAGAAGAUUAAACAAUGAUAUAAUACUUUAAUAAAAGUAUCUUUUAAAUAAAGAAAGAA